GAAGAAAUGAGACAGACAAAAAGGGAAAAUUUUAAUUUUUGAGACGGCAGAUUACUUGUUGGGGUGUCACUAAAGUUGCGGUAAGUAGUGUUAGAUGCCCCUUGAUUUGCCUGUUACUCAACUUAGCUUAUUUCUGGGGUAAUGCCAGUCACUAAUACAAUUUCUUAAUCUGCUAUUCGGAGACAUUGCUGUCUUAUUUCUUAAUCUUAAUCUGGUAAGCCGUGGUUGGAGUUUACGCACAGGGACGUCGAGACGGGGUUGAUAGGUUUUAUGUGUGCAGAGAAAGAAAGUAAAAUGGACAGAGAGAUAUACGAUGCGUUUGGAGUUAACUGAAGCUGUAAAUAAAAUUCUGGAAGAGGCGAGUAAACGUAUCCAGCCAACUGGAACUGGUAUGAAGUGAGGAUAUUUUAUAUAAUUCUCUGUGAUUUUAGAAUUUUUAAUCCAAAAAUAGUCAUGAAUAUAUAUUGUUAUCUCUACCUUUUUUGUCUAGACUGUUGGGUAGUAAUGAUGUUUUUUCUGAGAUCUUGAGAGUCAGUUGACAAGAAACGGCUUAACUGGUUCUUAUCUCUUUCUAUAUCUCAUUUUUCGUUUUACUUGAGAGGUUAGUUCAUUUUAAGUGAUUAUUCUUCAAUUUUCACUACACAAGUCAUUGAAAUCAUUACUCACAUAUCUUGGACUGCGGCAAAAUUUCCUAAGAAAUGUGUUGUACUUUGCAUUACAUGUUAGUAUCAUACGACGAAAUAGCUACCUUUAGGUCAUUAAUGCUCUAUUCUAACGUCAAUUCUUUUUU